rnacentral:rRNA from 1 species
AUUGAACGCUGGCGGCAGGCCUAACACAUGCAAGUCGAACGAGUGGCGGACGGGUGAGUAAUGUCUGGGAAACUGCCCGAUGGAGGGGGAUAACUACUGGAAACGGUAGCUAAUACCGCAUAACAUCAGAUGUGCCCAGAUGGGAUUAGCUGGUAGGUGGGGUAACGGCUCACCAAGGCGACGAUCCCUAGCUGGUCUGCGAGGAUGACCAGCCAACGUGGAACUGAGACACGUUCCAGACUCCUACGGGAGGCAGCAGUGGGGAAGAUUGCACAAUGGGCGCAAGCCUGCUGCAGCCAUGCCGCGUGUGUGAAGAAGGCCUUCGGGUUGUAAAGCACUUUCAGCGGGGAGGCGUUACCCGCAGAAGAAGCACCGGCUAACUCCGUGCCAGCAGCCGCGGUAAUUC